rnacentral:tRNA from 1 species
GUUUUUAUAGUUGAAGUACAACAGUGGCUCUUCAGGUCAUUAGUCUUAGUUAGAGUCUAAGUAAAAACU